UCUUACUUUUGUUUGCAAGUAUAGGCUCCGAGAAAUUCAGAGCGCGUGCUCGGUGAGGGGUGGUCACACCUUGGAGGAGGGUAGCUUUUGGGAUGGAGGUGUGUUUUGGUAUUAUAAUUAUAUUAUAAUGAGCAAAAGUACACUAGAGUACAGCAUUUUGUCAAAAACAUGACAGGUCAUUGUCUCAGGGUAGCAAAAGUGCAGCUUAUCAGUCUCGGUGUGCACAAGAACAAUCGA